UAUACAUGUAGUGUCAAUCAUUAAGUUACUGCCUGCUAAGCAAUACCUGGAGUAUGUGUAAAGUUGAAUCUAGAUGACUCUGAUGUAUUCUGGUAGCUUGAUCAUUAAUAGCAGAAAAGAAAUUCAUUAGUCUUGUAAGUAUGAUUCGCAAUGUGGAACUUAAAUCUAAAUCUUUAAACUUGUAUGCAACAUUGUUUAAAUAUUUUCAGAUGUAUUCUUUGUUUUCCUGGACCUCUAUGAGUACAAGUAACAUUUUCAUUAUAUGCAUUGAAAUUAAAAAUUAUACAUGUUCACCUGUCCCAUGAUUUUGACAAAAAAGAUGAAAUACCCAAUAUAUAUACACUUUCAGCAUGUUUUAUAUCUGUUCCAUUACAAAUUAUAAAAAAAAAAGAAAAUAAAGGAUAUAGUUCAGAGUUUUGUAUAACGUCUAUUAACACUGAACUAGUAUACAUUUUGUUAAGUGGCUAGCUGUAGCACGCCUCCGGGUGCGGGAUUUUCUCACUGUAUUGAAGAUACAUUGGUGGCUUUUGGCUGUUUUCUACUCUUUGGUCGGGUUUUCUUUUUGACACAUUCCCUAUUUCAUGUAUUUACAUUCUCACUUUAAUGAAAUUUUUGGCUUAGAGAUUGGAUGACCAGUAAGUCAAAAUAUUUUGAAAUAAUUACCGAAACCCCAGUAAAUGCACUGUUCUCGACACUGUAGAUAUGGAAAUGUCAAUGUCUUUCUUUUUCAGAGCUUCCUGCAGCUUUGGCAUGGUCACCGACUGGGAUUUCUUGUGCAGAUCAUAGAUGGUCCUCCUCACCACACCUUUGUCGAAAUCAUCCACCUUCUGAGUCUUGGUGACAGUUUUCUGGACAUAAUCCUUGUGAAUUGACUUGACCAC
rnacentral:lncRNA from 1 species